GAGGAUGAUGAUAUUGAGGCUGCUGUUCCAUUGGCUGUCUGAGAUACCUGCAGUUCGUGAUCGUGACCUGUAAGUUUUGAGGCAGAGCGUUUAGUUUCGGAAGAAGCUGCAGGUUCUGACA